ACACACACAUUAUAUAUAUAUAUAUAUAUAUGUUUUCUUUCUUGUUCAGAAAGUUGUAUCUUUGGUUUGGCUGGAAUUCUUGGACAUUCCUUGCUACCUUUGAUUUUUCACUUCAUAAACUCGUUUAACUAGAAAGAAAAAAGGACUCGCUUGACUAGAAGUCCAUGGCUUGGUAGUGUUCAUGCUUUUGUUUCAUUGGUUGCUCUAUUUGGUUUUCCUAUUAAGCGAAACAGAUUAGUAACGGUCUAACGGAUUACUAAUAUUCUUAAUCAUACGUUGAGAAAAGGUUAACUUUCAUGAUACCGAAGCCUACACAGACAUAUGGCGAAGUGGCGUUGUGUACCCGUUAUUUUAUAAUUUUAUUGUAGUUUAACAUACAUAAACAUUUUUGAUUCAAAAAGAAACAUUAGCUAUUUAUAGGCAGAGAUAACCUACAUUCCACCGCCUCCCCCUCCACCUCUGCCGCUACCGCUUCCACUUCCUCCUCGACCGCUACCGACUCCACUUCCUCCUCUUCGACCGCUGCUGCCUCCAACACCACCUCCGCCAACUCUACCUCCUUGGUGGGCACGGUCUUUG
rnacentral:lncRNA from 1 species